rnacentral:rRNA from 1 species
ACAUACGGCCAUAGGAUAUCCGACUAAACAGAAACCCGUUAGCUCUUCUUGUGUUAAACGGUAUUCUGGCGAGCUAGUAGCCAGGUGGGUGACCACCGGCGAAUCCUCGCUGUUGUAUGUU